rnacentral:lncRNA from 1 species
UCUUGAAUCAGCCUGUGAAUAUUAAUAACAAUAUAUGAAAUAUAGUUGUCGGGAAAAAUGAUGAACACACUCAAGUUCUAAGGAAUCUAGCAAAGUCCUAGUAGCACAAGCAAAGAAAACCCUAGAAUCCGCUACCAUUGAAACGACUCUCAGAGCUUUUUUUCCAUAAACUUUUCUUUCGAUCUCUUUCCUUUUUUCCCUUCUCCUCCUUUUAUUCGACCUCAAAACCGCCACCACGACCAAAAUCCCUAAAAGCACCAUGCAUCCCCACCGUCACAGAUCCAACAAGCCCUCCAACAACGAUUUCCACUGUCCCAUAUUCUCCUCCUUCAUCUCCUUUUCUCAUCCACUCUCCGACUUGGAAGAAUCCUGAUCAUCUGUCACCGCUAAAUUAAGCAGAACUGACACGGGUAUGGAGACUGGAAAUGGGGAGACAGAAAACGGCAAAGUAAUUUUUUUUAGAAACGGGCACGUCGGGGAUACAUCAACUAUAUAUAUAUAUAUAUACACACACACAUAUAUAUAUAUAUAUAUAUAUAUAUAUAUAUUUUGAACACAAUAUACACAUAUAUUAUGUAUACAAUUUAUGAGUAAACUUAAAAAUAAUAUAAACCCCACAUAGAAGUACAAUUUCAAGCAUGUAUUUGCUCUGUUUUAAUUGAUUUUCAGCGGAU